CCAGACUCCUACGGGAGGCGGCAGUGGGGAAUAUUGCACAAUGGGGGGAACCCUGAUGCAGCGACGCCGCGUGGGUGAAGGAGUACUUCGGUACGUAAAGCCCUAUCAGCAGGAAAGAAAAUGACGGUACCUGACUAAGAAGCCCCGGCUAACUACGUGCCAGCAGCCGCGGUAAUACGUAGGGGGCAAGCGUUAUCCGGAUUCACUGGGUGUAAAGGGAGCGUAGACGGCCAUGCAAGCCUGGAGUGAAAGCCCGGGGCCCAACCCCGGGACUGCUCUGGGAACUGUGCGGCUGGAGUGCGGGAGGGGCAGGCGGAAUUCCUGGUGUAGCGGUGAAAUGCGUAGAUAUCAGGAGGAACACCAGUGGCGAAGGCGGCUUACUGGACUGUAACUGACGUUGAGGCUCGAAAGCGUGGGGAGCAAACAGGAUUAGAUACCCGUGUAA
rnacentral:rRNA from 1 species